UGGGCGUAAGCGCGCGCAGGUGGUUUCUUAAGUCUGAUGUGAAAGCCCACGCCUCAACCGUGGAGGGUCAUUGGAAACUGGGAGACUUGAGUGCAGAAGAGGAAAGUGGAAUUCCAUGUGUAGCGGUGAAAUGCGUAGAGAUAUGGAGGAACACCAGUGGCGAAGGCGACUUUCUGGUCUGUAACUGACACUGAGGCGCGAAAGCGUGGGGAGCAAACAGGAUUAGAUACCCUGGUAGUCCACGCCGUAAACGAUGAGUGCUAAGUGUUAGAGGGUUUCCGCCCUUUAGUGCUGAAGUUAACGCAUUAAGCACUCCGCCUGGGCAGUA
rnacentral:rRNA from 1 species